AAUCUUCAUUCAACAAUCAUGUAAUAAGCAAAUGACAAAUUAAAACAUUCAGUAUCACCAUUUUUUAAUUUCUUCCUGUAAAGGCCCAAAACCCUAAAUAAGAUAAAGUCAUAAAUAAAAUACAAAAGUGAGAUAAUAGAGUUAGGGUUUACAUUCCUUACAUAAUAAUUUAGAAUGCCCAAUAAGGCUACAGAAAUGUCUCCUCUGAAAGAACAAACAAAAAUUAAAGAAAUAAACAAGAGACAAGUCACUAACCAAUGCUAAGACGACCUUCACUACCUCUUGAAGGGAGUUUGAGUAGUGAGUUAUUUACAACCUUCUUAUUGAUUGAGAUCUAGAUCUUGGUCUGCUUGAUAUAAAAUAGUUAAUGAACGGGUGAGCUAUACUAGUCCAGUAAGAAUAUCACACUAAUUACAUAUACGGAAAACUGAAGAUUGGUAAAAAUCAGAAAAAUAACCAAUGGAGCUCUUAAUUUAAUGUAAAUUCAUUUACUAUAAAGAAAGCCAUUUAUUCCAUUUUGUGUAAAAAGUCUUUCAUAAUAAUAACUUAUAAAAAUUCAUAUUCAUGCACUAUUAUUUAUCACAUAGAAGAAGAUAAUAAGAACGAUUAUUUUAUAUUUUUACCCACUUACCGGUAUCCUUGGAGGUCCAUAGGGAUGUCUUCAUACUCGUAAAUCUAAUAUUCAAUUAAACAAUUAACCGGCCGUUUUCAUUCCCCGUCUAGUAAUGGCCAGUUUUAGCCCACUUUAUAUGUAUCCCUACAAACAAAUACGUUAGGGAGUUUCUGUUGGCCGAAAAAAAAAUCAAAAAAUGGAAACCUACUGGUGGUGGGAUUUUUCAGGUGCGGUGGCUUCGUCGACUUGUAGAAAACAGAGUGAUGAUCACAGCAGUGGAAAAAUCGUAUAAAACGGGAAACGAAAAGGGACUCAUCGGAAGAGGUUGCGGGUUUUGCUUCUGGCGGUACUGACGGGCUUUGCUCGUGGUUUCCAACUCACCUGUUAUUCUUUUUGCUCCAAUUUGAUCAUGGGGGUGCUCGAAAUCAAAUUCUGAGCAUAUAAAAUAAUUUUUAUAUUUUUUGACGGUUG
rnacentral:lncRNA from 1 species